UUUUGAACAAUGUUGUAGUCCACCAUCUACGCUUUUUGUUUUUAUUUUGCUUUUAAAGUCCUGCACUUAUAACUAUAAAAAUGGCACUAGCAAUCGCAACUUCAUCAUCACUAUUUGAAGCCAUUUUACGAUAAACACUUAAUUUCACCACGAGCUUUACGUGCUCAAUUGUUUAUGUAAACUGUAUAGACUAUAACUUGUAGGUAACCUAAAAUAUAAUAUUUUGGCGGGUGUUCUAUUGACGAAUAUUGACGAAUCUCCGCGAAUAGAAAGAACGCGAAUAGUGAAUCACGAAUAACGAAUAUCCACGAAUAGUGUGUAAGGUGUUAUUGCAAAAAUGAUGAAUUUGUACGAAUCGCAAACCGCGAACCACGAACAAUGAAUACGCGCAUAGUGUGUACCUUUAUAAUUAAUUAGUUUUAACAUUUUAAGAGACGACGAAUUUGAGCUAAUUUCAAAAAAAUUCUCAGUAUGACUAGUACUUGACCAAUUUUUUUUUCGAAUUGCUGAUGUCAAAUCAUAUUCUAUCACACUCUAUUAUUUAAACAAAUUAUACAAAAUACAAUAAUUAUUUCAUAUUUAAACGAUAUAAUUGCACAGUGGUUUGUAAAGAGGUUUGAAUGCUAAAACAAUAACACGACAUUUAAAUUUCCGUCUUCGAAACGGUAUCGGGGAGAGAUGUCCUAGACCCUCCGAUAUUCGUGUAUAAAUAAUUGAUCAAAUAUUAAACAAAAUAUUUUAUUCGAAUAAAAAAUCAUUAUUAAAUAUUAAUUGAAGAAACCAUAACCGGCAUAACCACCAAAAUUUAAAUCAUAGAUAGGUAUGAAAAGAGAUGAGAAUAAUAUAAACAACAGAUACAUAGGUAAGGUACCUAAUAGGUAUUAGCAUUGAUAAUAAAUAUUUAUAAUAAUAAUUGUAUUAGGAACGUAUUUGUUGGAAAAAUUUGGCUUGCCUCGUCGUGUAUUGAUAAAGGUAUCUUGGAUAAUCAAAAAUAUAAAAUAAAAUAAUUGAUAUAGUCAAUAAGAUUAUUAAGAUUCACAAUCGUGUAUCAUUGGGUAAAUUUUUAAAAUCUUUAAUAACGUCCGUUUGUACUCAUUCUUGAACACUACACUUCAAUAACAUUAUCGUACUAAUAGAUCUUAUACCUACCCUCACUAACCUUACACCCUAGUAUAAGCUGGCCUAUGGUCGUACUAAAUUAUAAUUAUGAAAGGUGGUGAUGCACAAGACGUAUAAACCACGAUUCAUAAGUUUAUGAACUAUCUGUUGUUAUCAUGCUGAUAAGACUUCAAAUUGUAUUCCCAAUACUCUGUUUAUACUGUUGUUGAUAAACUGUUACAAUGAAAUAUAGUCAUAGUGGAGGAGAAUAUGAUAUAGAGAUCAUAUUCGCACAGUUUUAUGAUAGCCUGUCAUUGUACCUUCGUUGUAGUUCAAAGGUACCUAGGUAAUUGUUGUUUGUUUAAACAAUGUCUAAGUACUCUGUCGAGAUUUUAGGCUCCGGCAGCAAUCGAUCAAAUGAUUGCUUUGAACGGGUAUUUUAAGGUUGAUUCACAACAUCUAAGCAGUAAGUUCAACAGUACGUCCACGUUUAUAGUUGUUCAAAAACGCUGGGAACCAAUUGCUGAAUCAUUCAAUACUGUCCCGAAGUGUAAUGUACAUACAAGGAGAUAUCGCAUAAAGAAAAUCUGAUAGUGAUUAGAUAAGAAAAGUAUAUGCAGUGAAAACAAUAAUAUGCGUCAUCGAAAAAUAAUUUCUUAUUUUCUGUAACAGAGACAGUAAUUUUGAAGAUAUUGUGUGAUUCGUUGUUGCAAAAUAAUCUUUUCGUUGAAUAUGAAAGAAGAUUGUGUACAAACUUGCAAUCACUGCGACACAUGGAUGUGGAAAUUUAAGUUAUACACCUGAUUCAAUGCAAACACCAAUUUUACAUCUAUCAGUUUUAAAAUUCAAUUCAC